UACUGUACGUUUCAGCAAUUUUUCACUCAAGUGGACAGCAUGCAAUUUUCAACUUUCUCAGGGCAGCAGUAAUUUGUACUCCCCCUUUUUUAUGAUUUUUUCAAAGCCUUUUUGAUGAAUAUGCCCAUUAUUCAUCUUAGAGCUAGAUUGGACCAUUUAGCAGCCUAACUUUCUUCCCCUUUUGGAGUUGAACAUCUCUUAGGAGCUUAAAAGUGAAGAAGAGUUCACCGCAUUAGCCACAUUCGGGAGCGGAAACACAACUUUAAUGGAUGUCACACAAAAAAAGGCUCGUGGCAUUUUGACAUAGAAGAACAAAAUCUGUUGUAAAUCUCUAAGGAGGCUCUUCCUUUUUGUGACUGAGUGGCUAUUGUUUCCAAGCCUUCAAAUGUUAUCAAACAGCCCACAGUUCAUCAAUAGAAAUACAGUAUAAGCAUUUUUGUGGGCCAGAUUCUUGCCUGGAGUAAAUCAAUGUAGCUCUAUCAGUUUAAAUUGAGCUAUUCUGUGUCAUACCAGCUGAGGAUAUUGACUUGUGUGAUCUGAGGUAAACAUGUUCAUGAAGGCAAUUUUUUCCUUGGCUCCAGAAUGCCGUUUAGAGCUGGAGCAAGAACAGAAACGAAAGUUCUAAAUCAAAGUCUGAAAGUUCUAAAUCAAAACUUAAAAUUUAGAAAGAAGUUCUUUUGAAAAAUAGAGCCAGACUCUCUGCUGGAAUAAAUUGGCAUAGUUCCACUGAAGUAAAUGGAAAUGGUGGCAUGUUUCACAGCAAACAAUUGUAAUCAAUGAAGCUAAUCAAUCUAUACCAACUGAGGAUCUGACCCUUUAUAUUUAUAUUAAUAUAUUGGACUUCUUUUUUGUUUCAGUAUUUAAAGUUUCCUCUCCCUUGUUUAUUUCCUACAAAAAUGGAGCUGGUCAAAUAGUACAAAUUUGUGAAUAUUUGCAUGCUGAGUUUGGUCUGCUAUGGUUCAUGGAAUCCCAUUAUAUGUCAUUCGUGACUAUUCCAAUGUGUGCUGUGUAUUAUAACAAUAUCAUAAAUAUGGAAAUAUUUGAAAAUUCUAGUAUGCAUAAUUGAUAAGUUGUCUGAAAAUUUGUACCAGAAGUUAAUACUUCCUUAUUCUGCCUUUGAUAUUCCCCUGUUUACAAAGUUUACAAAGUUUUAAUCAUCCAAUCAAGGAUUUGACCCAAUCCUCCAUUUUUGUACAAAAGUAGCAAGUUCUGCAAUGGUUUAUUCUUACAUACUUUGACCAGUUCAUUGAAGUCCCAGGUCUCAGCAGAUGCUAUUGUUAUUAAUAGGAAUUGAUGGUUGCUGAGCAUUUUUGAAAAUCUCACUACUUAAUUUAGGUACCAAAAUGUGAGCUGAGCUCUCUCAAUAAUCUGGCCUCUGUUGUGGGUGCUAGAUCCUAAAUUUAAUGGUAAUGUGGUCAAACACUGGGAAAAGUUUUCUGAAUAAAUUAUUCUGAAUUGUUUGAAGCAAACAAAAAUUGUUUAUUUGGAUAUUGUUUAACUAUCUACAGAGUUGGUUGAAUAGUGGAAACAGGUAUAUAAGGAUAGAUUAUUCAACAAUUGAUGUAAAAAUAAUCAGAGUAUUUGUGAGUGCUUUUUGACCAGUUCUAUUAGUUGUACAUUACACAGUACGCCAUUAAAAAUUACAAGGAUAUUUA